rnacentral:tRNA from 1 species
GAAGGUAUAGCUCAAAGUGGUAGAGCGCAUGCUUAGCAUGCACGAGGUCCCGGGUUCAAUCCCCAGUCCUCUUA